GACGAACGCUGGCGGCGUGCUUAAUACAUGCAAGUCGAGCGAGGUUACUGUUUUGGAUCCCUUCGGGGUGAAGAAGCUUUAACCUAGCGGCGGACGGGUGAGUAACGCGUGGGUAACCUACCCCAAAGUCCGGGAUAACAGCGGGAAACCGCUGCUAAUACCGGAUGCCUUUACCUUGGGGCAUCUUGAGGUAAAGAAAGGCAACGCUUUGGGAUGGGCCCGCGUCCCAUUAGCUAGUUGGUGAGGUAACGGCUCACCAAGGCGACGAUGGGUAGCCGGCCUGAGAGGGUGGACGGCCACACUGGGACUGAGACACGGCCCAGACUCCUACGGGAGGCAGCAGUAGGGAAUAUUGCGCAAUGGACGGAAGUCUGACGCAGCGACGCCGCGUGAGCGAUGAAGGUCUUCGGAUCGUAAAGCUCUGUCCUUGGGGAAAAGGCGAAAGCUUGACGGUACCCAAGAAGAAAGCCCCGGCUAACUACGUG
rnacentral:rRNA from 1 species